GUGUUCUCAGCUCCUGCAGCUCUUACCGUACCAAUUGCUGCCAACCUUCUGGGAUUCCUGGGUCCUGGAAACCCGGCAGCAACACUGUGUCUCAAGCCUACAGUGGGCACGCUGGCAAGGACUGCAGGCAUGGUCAUGACUGUUUUGAAUAAUUACAUGCGAGGAAUGUUUUUAACCAAAGGCCCCAAAGCAUCCGAAGCCUGGCUUCAAGGUGGAGGAGUAAGGAGGAUGAGUCUGGGACGUGGGGUGGUUCGUGGCGCAGACCUCUAUUGUGGAAGUGUCAUGAUCGCAUUC
rnacentral:lncRNA from 1 species